rnacentral:pre_miRNA from 1 species
CCCUGCCGGGUGCCGUGCAGCAGCUGGUGUUGUGAAUCAGGCCGUCACCAGUCGGAGAACGGCUACUUCACAACACCAGGGUGGCACUGCACCACA